AUGAGACCUGCAACAUUUUUUUUUUUUUUUUUUUUUUGCUAGGCUCAUGAGUAAAGAUUGGAUAUAACAAGGCUUUUCAGUAUUAGAAAAGAUGAAGGGAUAAAUAGCAACAUACUUGCUAUAUUUAAUUUCUAGGGUCCUAAAGUAAAUCACUUGAGGAAAUUGGAUCCCAAAGAUUACAGGGCUAUUUUAUCUUGAAGAUUUAUGAGUUUGGAGGAACUAAGGUGAUUGGCAGUGGAAAGAAUCAGAACGUGUGGAAUUCCUUAAAAAUUUAUUGACUUAAAUAACUUUGUGUUACACAUAAUAAAAAAAACCCUUUACA